AGCGACGCCGCGUGAGCGAUCGAAGCCCUUCGGGGUGUAAAGCUCUUCGGCAGGGAAGAUUAUGACGGUACCUGCAAAAGCAGCUGCGGCUAACUACGUGCCAGCAGCCGCGGUAAUACGUAGGCAGCAAGCGUUGUUCGGAGUUACUGGGCGUAAAGGGUGUGUAGGCGGUCCCUUAAGUUUGUUGUGAAAUCUCCCGGCUCAACUGGGAGGGUGCGGCGAAUACUGAGGGGCUAGAGUGCGGGAGAGGAAAGUGGAAUUCCUGGUGUAGCGGUGAAAUGCGUAGAUAUCAGGAGGAACACCGGUGGUGUAAACGGCUUUCUGGACCGUAACUGACGCUGAGACACGAAAGCGUGGGUAGCAAACAGGAUUAGAUACCCUGGUAGUCCACGCCCUAAACGAUGCAUAUUUGGUGUGGGUCAUUCAGUUGAUCCGUGCCGGAGCUAACGCGUUAAAUAUGCCGCCUGGGGAGUACAGUCGCAAGGCUG
rnacentral:rRNA from 1 species